rnacentral:piRNA from 1 species
UAGGUGGGGACAAAGAAUGCUUUUGUAGAC